AAAGUCCGCAUAGUGUGAAUAUGACUUAAGUCCUAUUCAUCCUACGACGACAUGUGAUCUUUAAAAUCUGCAUAAUCCUUGGUUUAAUUAAAUUGGCCCAAUCAUGAACCCAAAUCAAUUUGGGUCGAACCCAAUUUGAUUUGGCUCAUUAAAUCAGUCCAAUUGCAAUCCAAUUGCAAUCAAUUCUACUUAAUUCUUCUUCUAUUAACUCACUAACACUUAGUGGGUUAAUUUAAUCACCAAUCAUAUUGAUAAUUGAUUUCUAUUAUGAUUCCAAAUCAUAAUUAUGAUAGUCUGACUAAUUAAAUCCUCUAUGUGUGUGACCCCGUAGGUUCUAUUCUGACUGGUUGUAAAAAAUAUUGAGAUCUCCAUCUCAAUAUCACUGAAACUCCUUUCAGUGGACUGAAACGAUUUCAGUUCUACUCUUAGGGUUCACUGAUCACCAAGUGAAUGUCUUCGAAUCUCACAAUCCACUAGUGACACCUAGCAGUAUGUGGUGGCAACCCAGCAGAAUGGAAUAUCUGAAUCUCUUGGUGCAGUUAGCGUAUGAUACAAUCCUCUAUCAUGGAUUCCGACGUGACGGAGGUUAUGGAUAUCUCGUCAAACCCCAUCGUCUGUCAUAUGUCAAAUUUAUACGACUUCCAGUUCCAGAUAUGGAAAACUCGUUUUCCAAAAUAUCUGGCCAGAAAUUUAUCGAACUCAGUCUCAUAAAUCACAUAGGAUCACUCCUAAUCUAUCAAGGUCGAUAGAN
rnacentral:lncRNA from 1 species